rnacentral:rRNA from 1 species
CAGCAGCCGCGGUAAUACGGAGGAUCCAAGCGUUAUCCGGAAUCAUUGGGUUUAAAGGGUCCGUAGGCGGUCUUGUAAGUCAGUGGUGAAAGCCCAUCGCUCAACGGUGGAACGGCCAUUGAUACUGCAGGACUUGAAUUAUUGGGAAGUAACUAGAAUAUGUAGUGUAGCGGUGAAAUGCUUAGAGAUUACAUGGAAUACCAAUUGCGAAGGCAGGUUACUACCAAUUGAUUGACGCUGAUGGACGAAAGCGUGGGUAGCGAACAGGAUUAGAGACCCCUGUAGUCCCUGUCUCUUAUAA